GUAGCGAUCCACACUCAUCAUGGUGAGCGUGAAGAUGCUGGUGAACAUGUUGUAGUAGUCGAUGGAGAGGACGACCUUGCAGAGCAGCUCCCCGAAGGGCCAGGUCUCCAUCAGAUGCUUGCAGAUGUUUAAUUACCUGCUCCAUUAUCCUUCCUGGCAAAGAAGUUAAGCUGAGUGGUCUGUGGUUUCCUGGGUUGUUCUUAUUUCCCUUUUUAUAGAUGGGCACUAUAGAAGAGGAAGGAUCCUGGACUGCUUACUGGGUUCUGAACACAUCCCAAAGAAGGCUGAAGAAUGGUGUGUGCCAAGGCCUGCACAUGCACAUGCAGGAGGAGUGGUUCCUGAAGCAGACAUCAUCCCUCACUACUGGAAAUGCUUAGUUUUGAAAGAGACAGCGAGUGAACCCAGCAAAUUUGGACAGACUAGGCUGUACUCAGACAAACACUGCUGGAACCUUGUGGGAGUUUCCUGCAUGAAGACUUGGUAAGGACUGAAGAAAGCAAAGGGCUGGACUUCCUGGUGUUUGUAGUUGGAGCUAUCACUGCCCUCUGUGCGGCACAGAGGGGUGCUCCCUAAUUAUUCCCCUGCGGAUGCCUGCCCCCAAAGGGGGAGGGGGGGAUGGAAAGUAGGCGGGGCCAGCGCUGUGUUCUCCAAGGAGAUAGGGUGGAGCUAGCAUGUAGGUGGAGCCAGAACUUGCCUUCCCUCUUGCUGCCGUCUUGCACCAUCCAGUGGAGCUUUUGUGUGUGUGUGUGUGUGUGUGUGUGUGUGUGUGUGUACAAUGAGGAGAUGUGUGACACCUUAACAGCUAACAGAUUUAUCUGGGCAGAAGCUUUCAUAGGCAAAAACCCACUUCAUCAGAUGGGGGUGAGGGUGGUAUCCUUCCAAAGGUGUGGCAGUUUGUGCUGUCUUUACCAUGCCCUGAGAAGCUUGGAGAAGCAUUCUGGGGCCCUCAACGCCUGGCUGAGUUGCCAUGGCACAACUAAAUCCUAAGUAAGUACGUUGGCUUGGCUCCCACUAACACGUAUCCCCUGUGGAUCUUCCUUAUAUAGCCUUGUGCAGCUCGGAAAAGGCCAGAGGGUCUCAAAAUUAUUCCUCAGAGGCUGUAACCUUUUCUUCCCCUUUUAGUCUGGGGAGUUACAAUCCCUUGAGAGCCUGGGUGGGGUUAAAAGAGCAACAUUUCCAGAGCCUUCGCUGCAGUUCUGGGAAUCCCACUUUUGCAACCCACACGUUCUCUUAGCAAAUUGGGCAUCAGGCAGUCGGAGAAACACAUGGCUCCUGCAGGAGUGGAAGUCAACAAGACUAAUUUUCUGUAAUUAUAUCAGACAGGGUCAUUAAGCGUUGGGCCUUCCCAGAGACAAUUAUGUAGCUGCCAGGUGUUUCAAGGGGUACUUUAAAGAUCUCAUGUCAGGACAAUGGUAAUUGCAAAAAUGUAAGACAGAAAAGCAGUGGGUGCUCAUAGUAAAUGUUACUGAUUUGGCUAGAAGCACAUUGGCAUGUCUCACCCAACUCCAGCCUCCUUUUCUCCUUCCUGCUCCUUUUCUUCCUUACCCCCCCCCCCCUCCAUUUGCACAGGCAUGGAGGUUCAUCUCCCAUUUGAAUUUCUCUUGACUGUGGGUGAGAAUCACAGAACCUUUGGGGGUCUAGUUUUACACAACUUCCAGUGGAUUCUGCUGUGUCUGGAAAGCACUUUGCAGAGACCUUUCCUCUGUGCAUCCACUUGGGGUCAGUCCUAGCGGCAGAGGGCAACACCCCAGGAGGAGCUUUAUGCCCCAUGUUGACACAGCUGCCUGUCUACCUCUCCUCCCUUGGAGCUCUGCUAGCUAGCCCAGAGUGGGAGGGAUCCGCCAGGGGCCUGCUGUCUGCUUUACAAGUACCCAGCCUGGGAAUCCACCACAUCACUGGCACUUUGUGCUCAGGAGAUGCCAGAACUAAGAUGGUCCAUACCCUGCGAGGCCAAGUAACGGAGGAGAGCCUUGCACUCCGUCCCUCAUGCUAGCGUAGCCAGGCCUAGGAUGUCCCUGGGAUUAAGGACUAGGAGGAGGGUAUGAGGGGAAGGUGAACAGCAGAGCUGUCCCCAGCAGCCUCAUCCCAGCCAUAUAGGGACAGUGGUUCAGUGUAAGCAGGCAAGGCACAGGUCUUGGUGAUACCUGCUACCUUCUCUCACACAGUGCAGUCAGCGUGUGACCCCUCCUGCCACUAGCUUAUCUCUGCUGGCCAGUGCCUGCUCCUGCCCUCCCUGCUUCCUGGAUUUCACAUAUCUGUGGAAAAGUGGAGGGGGGCACUUUUCUCCUUCCUUGCUCCCCUUCCUCCUGCCCCCCACCUACACAGGCAUGCAGGUUCAUUUCCCAGGCCCCCUCAGUCAGUCUGGAAUGUGAGCGGCAUGCUGGGUACAGGUUGAGGGCUCCAUCCUGCAUGGAUGCAUGGAAUUCCCUUAGAAACCAGUUGGAGUCCCAGGUACAGCAUGGAGUUGAUCCUGAUUUCAGCUCCCCCACUGUAAAUCUGGAGUGACUCCACUGAUUUAAGUGGAGCCACUUCACUUUUGCAACUGAAAAGCAGAACUUGGCCAAGGGGGUGCAGGAUUGGGUGUGUGCUUCUUACUUAAGGCCACGUCCCCGGCUGCUGUAAACUGGUCCUGCUCUGCACUGGUUUUCAUGGAGUCCAGCUGAGAACCUGUCCCACUGGUGUCUUCGCAUUUGCAGCUGGAUUUCAGCACCUGAGUUGGGACUGGGUGGCAGAUGGAUACUCCUCCUGAGAGCAACCGGGUGACAUUCGACAAGGGCACAGGGGGUCUCCCCCCUAUGCCCAACGCUUUCAGAUCAGGCUGGAGAACAGGCAAUUGCUUAUUUCCUAAAGUUUCAAUGGAUUAUGGUCUCAGACAAUGGACUGGUCACUAGGCCACAGCAAUAGGCUCCAUGUGUGAAAAUAGAUAGAUUUUUAAGCAUUAAUUAGUAGUAGCAGGUAACAACGAAGUUACUUAGUGGGUUGCAUUAGAAUUCCUUUGAAGGUCCCUUUCCUGACAAUCCUUUUCUGAACCAGCUGAUGGUAUCUGAAGAGCCAGUAACUUGCUCACUUCACAAUGACACUGCAAUGGGCUAUUUCUCUAGUGUAGCUUUGCUGUUUUAACUCACUUUUCAGCAUGGGCCUGAUGCCAAGCACACUGGAGUCAACAGAAACUCGCCCCCUUCCUCUCAUCUUUGGAUUAGGUCUGGUUUGUUCUGCUAGCCACACAAUCUGUCCUCCCGCCUGCCCAGCCAACUCACAGGAGCUGUUAAAAAGACAUGACACAGGCAGGCUAAACAAGGCCCAGGUGCAUGUAUCCUUGUUUUAUUCACAAUGCUGCAGAGAACAUACCAUGAGAGCUACCAUUGGAGCAGCUGACCAGAGCGUACUUUACCUUUCUUUCAAGAGCCGCAACUUCAUGGUGCUGUUCAGUCUGCUACCCCAGCCCCCCUAAAACUAAUCAGUAAAAGUCUAAUCUCGCUCCUGUCAAAGUCAAAGGGGAGUGUUUCCAUUGAUUUCAAUGAGCUUCAGAUCUGACCCAGCCUACUCCCAUUGAAACCAAGGUGAGCCGUUGUGAUGUAGUGGGGGUGCAGUCUGCUCUGUAACCCGGUGUCCCCCUGCACUAUGAUGUGUGAUUCCCACUGACUCACCCACAUGUGUUUAGCCCAGACACUUAGGAUCAGCCUGACCAGAUAACAAGGCUCUUUCCCCAGGGGAGAGACAAAGGAAGGGAGGCAGAGAAGAACACCUGGUUGGGGGGCAAGGUCUGGGAGCGAGGCAGUCUUGGGCUGGAAUCAUGAAGGAAACAGACUAAGGAGGGGGCUGGAAUGUAGGGGCCCUGGGACCCCAUCUCCAGGGGGCUGAGCCCAGACUCCUGUAACCACAUCACGUCUAUGCUGUGCUGUAUCCUGGAGAAGCAAUAAACCCCCUCUGUUCUACUGGCUGGUGGAGUCUGUUCUUGCUGCUGCAAGAUCGGAGGAACCUCAACUCGCCAUCACAGCCUUAUCAAUGGUGCAGAAUCAGUUCCUAAAAAUGUCCCUUUCAAUUCUCUCUCUAAUACAUGGUGGGAAGAGGAACUCCCCAACUAAAAUACUUGAUUCUACUACAAAAUGAAAGCCUGCCUGUAAAGGGGCCUGCUUGGAUUGUGAUUCCCUUUGAGUUCAAUGGGAGCAGGAUUGGCCAGGCUGGCUCAUGCAUGGAUCGUUCCGUUUCUUCCAGCACUGAUAUAGCCUGUGUUGUGGGGGAUCCAUUUAUUUCACUUACGGUGGUUGCCAUGUGUCAAAUGUGCUAGCAGAGCAUAGAGGAAAAUAGCAAAUUGCUCGAGGUGGGACUGUGAUGGGGGUGAGCCAAUCUUGCCUUGUUGUGCUAAAUUCCCAUGAACUUGGCUUUCGGCUCUGCGUGUGACAGGGUGGUUCUGUUGCCCCGGCCGCAGUGAGAUGGGGGGAAAUGGUAUAUCUCGUCUCUUGGACUGAAAACCAGAGAUUUUGCAGUUCGCUUAUGCCACAACAAUGGGAAUCAUUAACCUCCUGGAACUUCACGGCUUUAAUUCAUGGCCAUUCAUUGGCAGGCUGAGCACUUCAGGCUAAGGGAGUGGUGGGAUGAAGGGGGAGCAAGAAAGUUUCUUUUUCCAACCCAGGCUCCAGACAAAUCUCUGCUAAUUUCUGCAGCUGCGGUGGAAAGUGUAAAUCAAAGCAAUCUGGAAUGAAGCUGCCAUUUGACAACAGCCCACGUAAUAAACAGCUUAUGCAGUUCCUAUCUCUGAUUGCCACCCAUCAUUAGCCUCUUAUGAUGUUGAUAACAACACUUAGACAGUUUUUCCUAAGACUCUCAAAGCACUUCACAAACACCGACUGAGCCUCCCCACAUUCUGCGAUGUUGGCCUCGUUACUUCCUUGCCAAAUGGACAACAAACUGAGCCACCGUGGACCUGAUUUUUUCAGAGGCACCUGAGAAUCUGCUGUUAUGUCUGAGCUCAGCUCCUCAACAUCAGACCUUAGAGCUGUAGAGCGACUCUUUCAAGCACAAUAUUUUCAGAUAUUUAACUCCGGCUGGGCAUUGAUUUGUAUCUUUGGGCUCCUUUGGAAAUCUCUCCCUAAGUGUCUUAGGAACCUAAGUCCCAAGGGCACAUGCUUCUAAAUUCCUUAGGCAUUUUUUGAAAAUUUGCAUGGCUACCCAAGACUGAUUGCCAGUCCUAUUCUCUUCCCACUCCGGUCAGAGGCAUGAGUAGGUCUUUCACGUUGCUGCUGACAAAUGCACAGUGAAAUGGUCAAGCAGACAGCUACCUC